UAAAAAGCCUGGUCAGCUCGGGGCGCGCGGCGGCGGCGGACGAUCGAACCGGAGCUCGCGGCGGCGGUUCCCUGGCCCGCCGGCCUCGAACGGCGGCGGCGGCCGGCGAUGGAGGCGCGGGAGUACGUGUGGAAGGGGCGAUCCGCUGCAGAUCCAACUCCACGAGUCCGAAGUCACCGCCCUCCCUCCGCCACCUCCUCUCCUCAUUCUGGCGCCCCGGAUCGGGUACCUCCCGCUGCUGAUUCCCCGCGUCAAGCCCCACUUCGGCGGCGCCCUCCCCGGCGCGGACACCGUUUGGUUCGACUACAACGGCCUGCCCUUGAAAUGGUUCAUUCCGACGGGAGUCCUUUUCGACCUUUUAUGCCCCGAACCGAAGAGACCUUGGAAUUUGACGGUACAUUUCAGAGGAUAUCCAAGCAAUGUAUUGGUCCCCUGCGAAGGUGAAGAUAGUGUAAAGUGGAGUUUUAUCAAUUCUCUAAGGAGGUUGGCAUACAUAUUUUUGUAUGCAGCUUAUAUUAUUAAUGGAAAUUGCAAAAAUGUCAUGAAUAUGUCCCAAUCUGAUCAAUCAGAGCUUUGGCAAAGUGUAAUGAAUGGUGAUCUGGAAGCCUACCAGCAGGUAUCGCUAAAGCUUAAAUUUGGUGUACUUGAGGAUGAGUACAUUGUAAAGAAGAAUUCAAUUUCAUUGAGAUCCAAAGAAAGCAGUGCUGACACAGAUAUGGCUGGACAAGCUAAGACAGGUAGAAUUCCAGUCAGACUGUAUGUUUGCAGUGCCACUGAAGAUUUUGAUGAGUUAGAGGAUGCACCUGAAAUUGAUAAUUGGGACAAGAUCUCUUACAUAAAUCGUCCUGUUGAGGUUCACAAAGAAGAAGGGAAAUACUUCACACUAGGCGAUGCAGUGAAGGCUCUUUUACCUGCGAUUUUUACCGACAAAUCAUUCAUCGAUGAGGAUGUGUCUAAAACAGAAGUUGAGGAUGACAAGAAUGCUCCUUGUGUUUCUCAAGAGGACAACCAAGAUGUGAGUGGAAGUGCUGAAGAUAGGACAGAAAAAAACUGUGAAGCCGUUGAGCCUCUUUUUUCGUCAAAUACUGCUGAAUUAAAGCUUUUAAGAAUCCACGGCAUUGAGCCACAAUUGGAGAUACCUUUCUCCUGGGUUGUGAACAACUUAAUGCACCCUGAACAUUUUCUCCACAUUUGUGUGUUUCUUAAAGUUGCACGGGCAAAUCAUCGAUGACUAUGGGUCUUAGUACUUGUUUUUUCCCGUUCUAGUCAUUUAUGUCCUUGAUUUCUUAGAAUUAGAAAAUCCUAGAAUUCAUUUGCUGUAAAGAAACUGUACAGAAAGUCAUGAAAUAAAUAUGCUGAUCAUGGCAUAGGAGAAAUUCUUCUCA